ensembl:snRNA U6 U6 spliceosomal RNA
GUGCUUGCUUUAGUAACACAUAUACUAAAAUUGAAAUGAUGCAGAAAAGAUUAGCAUGGCCCCUGCACAAGGCUGAUAUGCAAAUUCAUAAAGCAUUCCAUAUUUUU